CACCGCGUCUCUUCUGCUGGAGGCAACCUGGGACAACCUGCUUUAAAUGUCUGGCUUUUGCUUAGCUGGCCAUUGCUUUCCUCCAACGAAGAGACUGCUAGACCGGAAGGACAGAUUUGAUAAUUAUCUCCCGUGUCAGCUCAGAAAAAGGAUUCUACAAACAAUAUUUUCAAAGUGCAUCCACAGUACUUACCUAUCUCCUGACAAUUAAUUUCCCUACUUUGUUGGGAGGAAGGGUGUGAAUGAGUACCUGCAUGAAUUGAUCUGAUGGCAUUCUUCUCUGCUUCUACAAAGGAGACCAAAGCCAUCAUUACUCCCAUGGUAGUAGACAAAACCUCUUCACAUCCAUACCGACUGAAUCGCGACGUGAACCUUGUGGCGAGAGUUCCAAAUUGCCCUCACUGUUCUGCCUUAUCUCUUCUUCCAGGUCCAGUGCUAUACCAGAAUAUAAAGGAUACUUACAGUUUUGACAGGAACAAGCUGUCGACAGAGAAAACGUCAGUGAAAGUCUGCUUCUCCGAUUGUGGAUGA